rfam:Ipomoea nil DNA, scaffold: scaffold2653, cultivar: Tokyo-kokei standard.
GAUUUGGACAAGGGUCCAUGAUCCACCGUGGGCCAUAUCAAUCAAUUAAUGGGGAUUAAAUCCCUUUUUAAUUAUUCUUGGUGGAAUUAAUUUUAUAAUUAAUUCCGGGUUGAGGGAUCGUAACACGGGGUGUUACAGCAACGUUAGGGAUUCCAGAGACGUCGGCGGGGCCAUGGGAAGAGUCAUCUUUUCUGUUUAACAGCCUGCCCACCCAGGAAAUGGCUCAGCCGGAGGUAGGGCCCAGCGGCUGGAAGAGCAUUGCACGUCACGUGGUGUCCGGUGCACCCCCAACGGCCCUUGAAAAUUCGGAGGACCGAGUGCCGUCCACACCCGGUCGUACUCAUAACCGCAUCAGGUCUCCAAGGUGAACAGCCUCU